CUUGGUCAUUUAGAGGAAGUAAAAGUCGUAACAAGGUUUCCGUAGGUGAACCUGCGGAAGGAUCAUUCAUAAUAAGUGUUUUAUGGCACUUUUUAAAUCCAUAUCCACCUUGUGUGCAAUGUCAGUCGAUCUUCUUCAUGGAGAUCGACCAAACAUCAACCUUUAUUUUUUAACUCUUUGUCUGAAAAAUAUUAUGAAUAAACAAUUCAAAAUACAACUUUCAACAACGGAUCUCUUGGCUCUCGCAUCGAUGAAGAACGCAGCGAAAUGCGAUACGUAAUGUGAAUUGCAGAAUUCAGUGAAUCAUCGAAUCUUUGAACGCAUAUUGCGCUCUUUGGUAUUCCGAAGAGCAUGCUUGUUUGAGUAUCAGUAAACACCUCAAAGCUUUUGGAUUUUUUAAUCGAAAAGCUUUGGACUUGAGCAAUCCCAACACCAAUCUUUUUGAGAUCGGUGGCGGGUUGCUUGAAAUGCAGGUGCAGCUGGACAUUCUCCUGAGCUAAAAGCAUAUUCAUUUAAUCCCGUCAAACGGAUUAUUACUUUUGCUGCAGCUAACAUAAAGGGAGUUUGACCGUAUUGGCUGACUGAUGCAGGAUUUCACAAGGGUCGGCAACGAUUCUUGUUAAACUCGAUCUCAAAUCAAGUAAGACUACCCGCUGAACUUAAGCAUAUCAAUAAGCGGAGGA
rnacentral:rRNA from 1 species